rnacentral:lncRNA from 1 species
AUUCAUUGAACCCAAGGCCAAUCAUGUCUCCUAUCAUCUUUCUAGCCUGAAGGAUUUUGUCUAAGGUGUCAAAUCCACUGUUUAGCAUUCUGACAGACUUAGUCAUCUCAACCAGUUUGGAAUUUAGAAACACAGCUUCAAUCUUCAAAUUAGAAAUGGUUUCUAAGUGUUCUGUCUUCUCAGCCUCUAGUUGGGUUAUUAGUUUCUUUUGCUUCUCCAUUUGUUGACACACUUCUUCACUUUUCAAAC